UACAGAGGUCUCAAGCGUUGUUCGGAUUCAUUGGGCGUAAAGGGUGUGUAGGUGGCGCCGUAAGUCGGGUGUGAAAUUUCGGAGCUUAACUCCGAAACUGCAUUCGAUACUGCGGUGCUUGAGGACUGGAGAGGAGACUGGAAUUCAUGGUGUAGCAGUGAAAUGCGUAGAGAUCAUGAGGAAGACCAGUGGCGAAGGCGGGUCUCUGGGCCGAAACUGACGCUGAGGAGCGAAAGCGUGGGGAGCAAACAGG
rnacentral:rRNA from 1 species